CCUACGGGAGGCAGCAGUGGGGAAUAUUGCACAAUGGGCGAAAGCCUGAUGCAGCGACGCCGCGUGAGGGAUGACGGCCUUCGGGUUGUAAACCUCUUUCAGCAGGGAAGAAGCGAAAGUGACGGUACCUGCAGAAGAAGCGCCGGCUAACUACGUGCCAGCAGCCGCGGUAAUACGUAGGGCGCAAGCGUUGUCCGGAAUUAUUGGGCGUAAAGAGCUCGUAGGCGGCUUGUCACGUCGGAUGUGAAAGCCCGGGGCUUAACCCCGGGUCUGCAUUCGAUACGGGCUAGCUAGAGUGUGGUAGGGGAGAUCGGAAUUCCUGGUGUAGCGGUGAAAUGCGCAGAUAUCAGGAGGAACACCGGUGGCGAAGGCGGAUCUCUGGGCCAUUACUGACGCUGAGGAGCGAAAGCGUGGGGAGCGAACAGGAUUAGAUACCCUGGUAGUCCACGCCGUAAACGUUGGGAACUAGGUGUUGGCGACAUUCCACGUCGUCGGUGCCGCAGCUAACGCAUUAAGUUCCCCGCCUGGGGAGUACGGCCGCAAGGCUAAAACUCAAAUGAAUUGACGG
rnacentral:rRNA from 1 species